GACAGAGGAUGCAAGCGUUAUCCGGAAUUAUUGGGCGUAAAGAGCUCGUAGGCGGUUUGUCGCGUCUGCUGUGAAAAUCCGGGGCUCAACCCCGGACUUGCAGUGGGUACGGGCAGGCUAGAGUGCGGUAGGGGAGACUGGAAUUCCUGGUGUAGCGGUGAAAUGCGCAGAUAUCAGGAGGAACACCGGUGGCGAAGGCGGGUCUCUGGGCCGUAACUGACGCUGAGGAGCGAAAGCAUGGGGAGCGAACAGG
rnacentral:rRNA from 1 species